AUUGUUGGAUGCCCUGAGUAUUUGUGGGUGUAAAAGGACAUCAGUGGAACGUAAUCAUGAACUGGAAGCUUUUCAGUCCACAGAAGCUGCUUCUGCUGCACAAGAAACAGGCACUUAAGAGGUAUUGAGUGAUUAUCACACUCAACUACAAGAUCAACUACAGGCUUCUUCCUACCUGUACUGAUCACUCCUGAAGGCUUACGCUACCUCCCGGCCGCUGCGCUCCUCCAAUGAACGUCGCCUCGCUUUACCAAACAAACACUCACACAAAGCAAUCCAGACUGUUCUCAUACAGAGUUCCCCAAUGGUGGAACAAACUACCCUCCACUACCAGAUCAGGAGAAUCUCUCACUAUCUUUAAUAAACUCCUGAAGACAGAGCUCUUC